AGUCCAUGAUGGGCUGACAGGUCAGGGAAAGCCCUGAUUUAUCGUCCCAUCCACGGCGCGGACCAUCUGUCCUCAUUAGUUCACAGGGGUUUAUGGUUUUUUAAUCUUUUCCACAUACGCACACGGUAAGUGAGUGCUCCACGCAGCCUUUCUGGCCAUGCACUUUCAUGUCUUGGCUGUUGGCCUCUGAGUUACGACCCAGGACACAUUCUAAAUGCGCUUCAUCCCAUUUCCGCUAAUGAGCAGACAUGAGCAGCUCCUCACAAUGGAGGCACCCGGAGGUGCAAUCAAACCACGUUUGCCAAGCUAGAUGAGGGCUUUGCUCUGGGGUCUGUGGACCGGUGUCUAGAAAGUUCUCAUGUGUGUUUCAACCAAUUAGAGCCCAGCAGAAGAGACCUUGAACUCACAGCUAAAGCUGAGAAGUUCCCUCUGUACCAACAGGGCACCACAUUCUUCUUCUCUCUCCAGCCAGGACUAGCAGGGUAAGGACAGUUGUCUUAGGUGCCUCAUGGGGAUGGUUUGAAUAUGCUUGGCCCACAGAAGUAGCAGUAUCAGGAGGUGUGGCCUUGUUGGAGGAAGUGCGUCACUGUGGGCGGGGCGGGCUUUGAUACGCUAGGCUCAUGCUCCUGCCAGUGUGGAAGAGAGCCUCCUCCUAACUGCCUGCGGAAGACAGUUUCUUGCUGCUGCCUGUGGAUCAAGAAGACAUAGAACUCUGGGCUCCUCCAGCAUCAUGUCUGCCUGCCCGCCGUCACGCUUCCCGCCGUGAUGAUAUUGGACUGAACCUCUGAAAUUAGAGAAACACACCAAAAACCUUCUGGUGCUCUUCCAGUGAUGUCUUGCCACUUCUUUAGCAGAUUGGCAGAGCCUUGUGGUUACUUCUGGAUCCACCUGCCCCUGCUGAUUCCCGAAUGGUGUUGGCGAGUGGAUCAAGCUGCCAGUGCCUACUCGUGCGACUUGAACUGCUGAUAUCCUGACUGUGCAGACUGGAUUCACCUCAAAGAACAAUUUCUAAACAUAUUCACAGUCUCCUUAGCUCUAUGAACUUUUCCUUUCUGCUACCUCUCAUGGGUGGUGGGAUAGAAGGGGCGUUGAAGCACUUAAGGACCCUUAUGAAAAGUAGGUUCUGAAAAAAACCUAAGCCUACAGUUUCUCUGGAGGAUCUUUGAGAACUUCAGUUUCUAGAGCAUUAAAGUGGUUCUGGAUUACCACUG